rnacentral:rRNA from 1 species
AUUGAACGCUGGCGGAAUGCUUUACACAUGCAAGUCGAACGGCAGCACGGGAGCCUGCUCCUGGUGGCGAGUGGCGAACGGGUGAGUAAUAUUUCGGAACGUAUCCAAUAACGGGGGAUAACUAAUCGAAAGGUUGGCUAAUACCGCAUACGCCCUGAGGGGGAAAGCUGGGGAUCUUCGGACCUAGCGUUAAUGGAGCGGCCGAUAUCUGAUUAGCUAGUUGGUGAGGUAAAAGCUCACCAAGGCGACGAUCAGUAGCUGGUCUGAGAGGACGACCAGCCACACUGGAACUGAGACACGGUCCAGACUCCUACGGGAGGCAGCAGUGGGGAAUUUUGGACAAUGGGGGAAACCCUGAUCCAGCCAUUCCGCGUGAGUGAAGAAGGCCUUCGGGUUGCAAAGCUCUUUCGCAAGGGAAGAAACGUUACCGGUGAAUAUCCGGUGAUAAUGACGGUACCUUGAUAAGAAGCACCGGCUAACUACGUGCCAGCCGCCGCAGUAA